UAUGUUUUUUGUGGAAAGUGCGCAUUUGACCAGCAGAGAUCCACACUGACCGUAUUAAAGCGUUAAAAAACAACGUUAACGUCUCAUCGCUGAUGUUUUUGUAAUCGAGAUUAAUGUAAAUUAUGGCAGGGAUUGUGUGCCGUACCGUGAGCCGGAUCAUAUCCAGCCAGACUCAAUCAUCAUGUUGCAGUUCUGUGGUUGCUGUCAGACACAGUCACUGGUUUACAUCAGUGCUUCCACUGAAAACAUCAAUGCCUUUAAGGAGCCGAGCCUAAAAAGAAAAAGAAAACUGAUCCACGGCGAGAACAAAUGAUGAAGGAACGCCUGAAGAAGAAGCUGAAAAAACUGGAGAAAGUUCCACCUGAACUGAUUCCUGUUGAAGACUUUGUUACACCUGCCAAAUGCUUCGAUGAGACCAGGUCAAAUAAAUACGCAGAAGAACCCAUAACUACAGUCUGGACACACUUACUUACUCUUUAUUAUGACGAUUUACAUUUUAGAAUAACAGUAAAGUGUCAAUGACAUCACAAUUUGUUUUGUUCAGUGACAGUAUACAAAAAAUACAUGAUGAACAUGUUUUCAAUUUCUGAGUUAAAAGUAAUUUUUAUAUUUGUUCUGAGGCUUAAAUUAAAAAAUGUCAUGUGGUGUAACCGUCCAGAGACGGUUAAAUAAAUAUCAAAGUCUCAAGCUGAAGUUCUGGAAAAAAGACAUGUUUGCAUGAGUAAUGCAGAGUAAUCUUUUAUUAAAUUUAAAUUUUUAAAUUAGCAAUUGAUUUAUAAUUUUGUUUUAAUAGGAUUAAUAUUUGAAAGACGUUUGUCCACCAAAUCAGAGUAAUGUGGUGUAACUAACAAGUAGGUAGAUAUUUUGUUGUCAAGUGACUAUAAAAGGUAAAACAGACCCCUUUAGACCUUCAAGAAUGUGUGUGAAAUAAAGAAAAAGAUCAUUAAAUAUCAAUUUACAUUUUAUUUUGUUCAGGUCAUGUGGUGCAACCCUGAGAAAAUGUCUUGAUAUUCUUAACUCAAAAAUUCAUGAUAAUUGUAAAAAAUAUUUUUAAACUUUUAAAAUAUCUUUGAAUACUUUAUUGAAAUUAAUGAUUAAGUUGCGUACACUCUCUUGUAUUUAAUGUGCAAGGAAAAUAUUUUACAGGAAGACACAAAGAUUACAUUUCUACAAACUUGUGUUUUAAUCCUUUAAGCGGGGGGCCGCGAGAAAGAAAGUUUUUGUCAAUAUAUUAAUAACUACAGUCUUCACCAACACAAAAUAGGUAUCGUUUGAAAGUGUAGAAGCUCUACUUUCCAAUGCAUGUACACAUUAUGACCAAAACUGAACAAGUGCUUUGAAAUUUGCAGACAAAUCAGAAUUGUUCAGUUUUGAUCAUUUAUAAAGAAAAUUGCUCUGCACAUAUUAUUGCAAUCAGUAAAAACAUCAAACUGAUCAAAUAUCCAUGUGUCAUAUGUUGUUGGAAAGCUCUCAAAAAGUAGAAUACAAACAGCCUUUUUUUUUACUCAUAUAGUGAGUAAUAGCUAAGUAUAUGUGUGUGACAAUUAUGUUGCUGUUGCUUAUAUACCAUGUUUUUGCUUAUAACUUAAGAAAAAACUAACGGUACAUAAAAUAUCAGGAGCCGAUUAUCUUUCAAACGAGUCCACACACAAGGUAAUCAGAUGUAUAGAUCAUUAGAUAAUCCACAUGAAGCACAAUGUUACAUAUGACCACCAGGAGAUGGCGCCAAAAACAUGACACAGACUCAAUGAUGACUCAAAUGACACAGAAUGAAACUCAUUCUGUGAAAUCUCAUUACUAAAAUCAUGUCUGCAUGCUAUGCAAACCUUUAGUCAUUGUUGUGUUUGCAUGUGUAAUUAGUUCUUAUGUACAAUUAUUAUGUUUUAUUUGUUUGGAGAGGCUUUUGGACACUAUGAUAAAUUAUUUUUGUAAUGCUAUAACUUUCGAUUGCUUUGUUGUAUCAAACACAACAUUUUUCUCAGAUACAGUUGACAUGAUUGGGAACAAAACAAAUGUUUUCGGAGCCGCCUUAUUUACACCCAGAGAUAUAUAAUGUCAAAAAUAAGGUUUUGGCAAAAAAAAUUCUGAUCUUUCAGCAGUUUCUUAGGCUGAGAGUCUCAGAAUAUAUCAUAAUUUAUAUCAUUAAAAAUGUUUUAAUGUUUUCUUUACAAUGAUAUCAAACACUUGACCCUCCUUUAAUUUUGUGUAUGCUACUGAAACAGGAAAUCUUUAAAAACACCUUCAGAGCUUAAAGGGUUAAACUAGAAUUCUCAUUUUUAUCACCUUGGACGACCUUAUUUGUCAAUGACCCUAAAGCCAUCAAAACUUUGAAAUGACACAAAUGAAAGCUUUCUUGUAUUUGAAGUGGUUGUUUGUGUAAAUACCAGCUCUUCACACUCUCAAGCAACUUUAUUUAAAAAUUAAUUAAAAAUGUUAGGUAUUUGAUUUGAAAAGACAUGUACAGUAUGCACAAUUUAUAUUUGUCUACAAACUGCUUUCAUGCAUUUAAGCAGAAGCCUUAAGAUCAAGUGUUGAAAUUCUGAUGAUUAGUAGUGGUAGUGUAAAUCAGACCAGCUACUGUUUUUGAAGCAAAGUUAAAUAAUCUUAAAUUGGGUUUACCUGAAAGGCUCUAAUUGGUCAUUUAACGAAACUCUUAUCUAACCUGAAUUCUUUGUAUG